rnacentral:rRNA from 1 species
GUGGGGAAUAUUGGACAAUGGGCGCAAGCCUGAUCCAGCAAUGCCGCGUGAGUGAUGAAGGUCUUAGGAUUGUAAAAUUCUUUCACCGGGGACGAUAAUGACGGUACCCGGAGAAGAAGCCCCGGCUAACUUCGUGCCAGCAGCCGCGGUAAUACGAAGGGGGCUAGCGUUGCUCGGAAUUACUGGGCGUAAAGGGCGCGUAGGCGGAUCGUUAAGUCAGGGGUGAAAUCCCAGAGCUCAACUCUGGAACUGCCCUUGAUACUGGCGAUCUUGAGUGUGAGAGAGGUAUGUGGAACUCCGAGUGUAGAGGUGAAAUUCGUAGAUAUUCGGAAGAACACCAGUGGCGAAGGCGACAUACUGGCUCAUUACUGACGCUGAGGCGCGAAAGCGUGGGGAGCAAACAGGAUUAGAUACCCUGGUAGUCC